UACAGAGGUGGCAAGCGUUGUUCGGAAUUACUGGGCGUAAAGGGCGCGUAGGCGGUCUUGUCAGUCCCUUGUGAAAUCCCCCGGCUCAACUGGGGAACUGCAAGGGAAACAGCAGGGCUUGAGUUCGGGAGAGGGAAGCGGAAUUCCGGGUGUAGCGGUGAAAUGCGUAGAUAUCCGGAGGAACACCGGUGGCGAAGGCGGCUUCCUGGACCGACACUGACGCUGAGGCGCGAAAGCUAGGGGAGCAAACGGG
rnacentral:rRNA from 2 species